rnacentral:rRNA from 1 species
GCUUGACUGUAUCUUGGAAUUGGGUUCGGCUUUUCUUGCGCAGACUAGGUGGGAGGCUAUGAAGAUUUUCUUCUGGGAAGUUGGAGCCAACAGUGAGAGACCACUCUGGAAAGGCUAAGAAUCCUAAUGGUGAUCCUUGAAUCAGUGACACUUGACAGUUUCAGGUGGGCAGUUUUUCUGGGGCGGAAGCCUCAUAAAAGGUAACUGAGGCGCGCAAAGGUCCCCUCAGUCUGGACGGAAAUCAGACAUUGAGUGUAAAGGCAAAAAGGGGCUUGACUGCAAGACCCACAAGUCGAGCAGGGGCGAAAGCUGGCCUUAGUGAUCCGACGGUGCCGUGUGGAAGGGCCGUCGCUCAACGAAUAAAAGUUA